UUAUGAUGAUUAUGAUGAUGAUGAUGAUGCAUCAUCAUCAUCAUCAUCACUA
rnacentral:miRNA from 1 species